UUUGUCGUCCUUGUACGGGAAAGGAGACGGUACUUCGAUUAUCAUUUUUGGUUUCACUGGCUCUUUCGUCGCGUCGUAAUAAAUUAUUAACGGUCGAUCCGCGCUAUAAGGAAGACCUGAUGACUGGUUGUCAGAGGUGCAUACUUCUCUUUCGUUGGUCUCUUCCCUCUUGAUAAGGACCUUAAUCUCCUUAUUAUCCAUCCGGUCUUGAAGCAA
rnacentral:lncRNA from 1 species